rnacentral:rRNA from 1 species
AGCGAACGCUGGCGGCAGGCCUAACACAUGCAAGUCGAACGAACUCUUCGGAGUUAGCGGCGGACGGGUGAGUAACACGUGGGUAACCUACCUAUAAGACUGGGAUAACUUCGGGAAACCGGAGCUAAUACCGGAUAAUAUUUCGAACCGCAUGGUUCGAUAGUGAAAGAUGGCUCUGCUAUCACUUAUAGAUGGACCUGCGCCGUAUUAGCUAGUUGGUAAGGUAACGGCUUACCAAGGCAACGAUACGUAGCCGACCUGAGAGGGUGAUCGGCCACACUGGAACUGAGACACGGUCCAGACUCCUACGGGAGGCAGCAGUAGGGAAUCUUCCGCAAAGGGCGAAAGCCUGACGGAGCAACGCCGCGUGAGUGAUGAAGGUCUUCGGAUCGUAAAACUCUGUUAUUAGGGAAGAACAAACGUGUAAGUAACUGUGCACGUCUUGACGGUACCUAAUCAGAAAGCCACGGCUAACUACGUG